AGUGAACGCUGGCGGUAGGCCUAACACAUGCAAGUCGAACGGCGGCACAGUAAGAGCUUGCUCUUACGGGUGGCGAGUGGCGGACGGGUGAGGAAUACAUCGGAAUCUACUUUUUCGUGGGGGAUAACGUAGGGAAACUUACGCUAAUACCGCAUACGACCUACGGGUGAAAGCAGGGGAUCUUCGGACCUUGCGCGAUUGAAUGAGCCGAUGUCGGAUUAGCUAGUUGGCGGGGUAAAGGCCCACCAAGGCGACGAUCCGUAGCUGGUCUGAGAGGAUGAUCAGCCACACUGGAACUGAGACACGGUCCAGACUCCUACGGGAGGCAGCAGUGGGGAAUAUUGGACAAUGGGCGCAAGCCUGAUCCAGCCAUACCGCGUGGGUGAAGAAGGCCUUCGGGUUGUAAAGCCCUUUUGUUGGGAAAGAAAAACAGCAGGUUAAUACCCCGCUGUUCUGACGGUACCCAAAGAAUAAGCACCGGCUAACUUCGUG
rnacentral:rRNA from 1 species